AAAACACUUUUACUAAUUAAAUGAAGAAGCGAACAUGAAAAAAAAAAAAAAAAACAAAAAUAACAAAAAUAUCGAACGCAGUAAGUGAAGCUCUUGAUGAAGAAAAUCCCAUUUAAUAUACUUGAUGACAAAUCCCAUUUAUGUAUACGUAUAUGUUGGACGAUCGAUAUUCGAUGAAUUUUGUAAAAUUCCAUUUGUUCUUUAAAUUCAAUUAUAAUAUAAUGUAUGUUCUUGUUUUUGUAUUGGUACACUUGCUUCCUUCCACUGUAUGCUUCAAUUUAUAAGUAAACUGAAUGAAUAUGACUUAUCUUAAAGUUGGUCGUCAGAAAUAUUAGAAGAAUUGUGAUUUCCAGUUAACAUUUUGCCCUCACUGCUACUCAGUAAAGCUAGUAGUAGUAGUAAAGUCUUUUCAUAAUUCCUUUCGCCAGACGGCCACGCCAUACAUGCAAGCUUGCAUGCAUACAUAUUGUGUUUAGCCAAUAGUUGAAGAAAAAGUUGUAGCGAAAUCUGGAAUAUAGGCGUGAUACGAUUUGAUGCUACGAUUAGAAACACUUAGCAAUCGUUCGAGCUGGUAAAAACAAUCCUUAUUGCAAUUCCCCAAUUGAAAACGUCUAUUCGAGAAACGAAAAUGAACUCUUUUUUUUUUUUUCAGUUUCUUCCAUCACCCAAUUGAAUUUCCAUUUAAGAUUUCUACUCAUUUUCUAAAGACAUAGAUCAUUUUUGUACUGCUCUACUACACAUGCGUGCAAGCGGGCGGCGAAAAAGAACUAAAGUAUUUUUACAAAAAGAAUUACUCCCAAGUAAUUUACCAUAAAAAAAAAAAAAAAAAAAAUAUCCAUAUACGUGUAUACCCUCUCCAUUCAUAUGUUCUGUUAAUCUUAUAGUUAGAUAUCUGAAAUUUCCUGUGCACAGCACAGUUUUCGCUGACACAUUCAUGCUCAAGACAACCGAACAAAUUGUCUACCAUAAGUCAAAUAAUAAAUUAAUAUCGCGUAAACAGUUAAUCUGUUAGUUAGUCUCUACAGUUCUGUCGGCAAAUGCUUAUGCGAUUUGUAAAUCCUUUCUUAAUCGAAUCGAAACAAACUCAAAAGGAACCCCAAAGAUUUGCGCCCUAUCUAUAUCAUUCAAUAUAAACUUUCCUCUUCUUUUGUUUCUUACCGCCGUAGACUGUAUCACAAUACGAGUCGGUUUUUUUUUAACAAGAAUUUCAAUUAUAAAAUAAACAUAAUGUUAAGAGCAAAUGUACCAGAAUAACAUCAAAAAGAUAUGAAUUGUAUACAUUAUUCGGAAAUUGAAAAAUUCCGCGAAAUUUCUCACCAGAUCCUCAUACAUACAUAGUGUCAUCAAUUAUCUUCCAACUUGUUUCAUCAAAAAAGAAGACGAAGAAGAAAAAGAAAAACUCAUUUUGCCAAAGUCAUUAGUUAUUGGUUUGUUGUUGAAUUUUGGAAUUUUUUUUUUUUAAAUUUUCAACCUUUAAAAUGUAACAAAAGAGAAAAUAAAUCCUUUAACUUUAUUGCAAUGAAUUAAAAGCAUCCCAAUAUCGCUGAUAUGAAAAGAAAUAAAUAAAUAAAUAAAUAAAUAAAUAAAAACAAAAAAUAGAAAAGUUUUAAAAAAUUUAUAAAUUGAUAAAUUUUUUUUUUUUUUUGAGACUAUAUAUCCACUUAAAGAAAACUCGGUAAAAUUGUUAAUUAAUUGAUUAUUCAGAGAAUCUUAAGAUUAAGAUAUCAAGAGAAAUCAAUUUCAUUUUGUUUAACAUUCUAUAAUUAUAUCCUUUAAAAUCCUUGUAUUAAUAUUCUCUCUGCCGUUAUUCCACUUGGCUAAUAUCGAACAGUUAUGUUUACCGCUUUUACGAAUUGUGUUUUGUUAUUACUGUACAGAGCUUCAACACCCGGAAAUAUUUUUUUUUUAAGAAAAAAAAAAAAAA